rnacentral:rRNA from 1 species
UACGAAGGGUGCAAGCGUUAAUCGGAAUUACUGGGCGUAAAGCGUGCGCAGGCGGUUUGCUAAGACAGGUGUGAAAUCCCCGGGCUUAACCUGGGAACUGCGCUUGUUACUGGCAGGCUUGAGUGUGGCAGAGGGGGGUGGAAUUCCACGUGUAGCAGUGAAAUGCGUAGAGAUGUGGAGGAACACCGAUGGCGAAGGCAGCCCCCUGGGCUAACACUGACGCUCAUGCACGAAAGCGUGGGGAGCAAACAGG